ensembl:lncRNA
GAAUAUUUCGGCACAGGGCAAGUUGCAAGGACAUCAAAGAAACAUACAAAAGGAGUUGCUUUUCCUUUGAUUGACGAGGCCAUGGAGGGGAAUCCUAUAAACACAAAUGGCAAUGUGAAUGCAACCAGCGCCACAGGCAAGGCAUCCGGCGCAAGCACCUUGACACUUCCGUUUUUGCUGCAGUUGGGGCUGAUGGUUGCACCUGCCUUACUUCAAACUCUGCUGUAGCACUUGCUAUGCUCUCCUUCCACAAGACUCUGCAGAACUUCUGCAAGAACGGGGGCAACAACAUAGCAAUAGCUUCAAUGACUAGGCCUACUAUAUUUACCGGUACUGUAGACCCUAGCUGACCCGUUUCCAUGAUUGAACACCGUGAAAUUCUUAACCCAAAUGAUCUUGUAAUAACCAUACAGAUACAGAAAUAAAUUUGUGUAUCUACACUCUUCUUGAUAUUUUCUUUCUCUGUCUGAUAGAUGGAGCCAUGUGCAGACUAUGCCUAUGACCUAUUGUUGGCUAGGGAUAGGCUAGGCCUUUAAAAAAAUGACAAAACGUUGAUAGUGCUGGAAAACUCACAGCAGGACAUAGAAGAGACAAGAUGUCAAAUGAAAAGCAAUGCUUUCACACAUACACUAUAGAAAGUCUAUACACCCUUGAACAUUUUUUUAUUUAUUUGGCAUUACAUAGUGGGAUUGAAUUAUAUUUAAUCAUAUUUUUUUGCCAUUGAUCUACACAAAAUACUCCAUAAUGUCAAAGUGAAAAGAAAAU